UUGGGAGCUCAUUGGCUUUGGAGUAAUGGGAACUCCGAAGUUAAGGGAGUUUGGGCUAGAGCAAUCCCAGGAUAGGUGACCAACUGGGAAGUUUCUUGUGAGUUCUUAGA
rnacentral:rRNA from 1 species